rnacentral:lncRNA from 1 species
CUCCAUCCAACAGACCGGACACAAGAUCGAAAUCUUUAUGCCCCUAUCCCUGACAAAUGUCCACAUGGGAAGUCGGUUCUAGACAAGCUUCCAUAGAAAAAUCUUUACCCUAAGAUGAAUGACUACUCUCCAAAUCCAAGUAGCCUCGAUCCUCCUGAUCAGUGCUGGUCCACACAAUUGGGAGAGGUCCCUCAAGAGAAUCUUCAGGCAGUAGGAGCAUCCCCAGACCCUCGCAUCCUGACUGGGAUGUAUC